UACGAAGGGGGCUAGCGUUGUUCGGAAUCACUGGGCGUAAAGCGCACGUAGGCGGAUCGUUAAGUCGGGGGUGAAAUCCCAGGGCUCAACCCUGGAACUGCCUUCGAUACUGGCGAUCUUCGAGUCCGGGAGAGGUGAGUGGAACUCCGAGUGUAGAGGUGAAAUUCGUAGAUAUUCAGAAGAACACCAGUGGCGAAGGCGGCUCACUGGCCCGGUACUGACGCUGAGGUGCGAAAGCGUGGGGAGCAAACAGG
rnacentral:rRNA from 1 species